CGUGUGCGCGCCCCGAGCCGCACACAGCGGCCGCGGGGCUGGAGGGCUCCGUCCUGCGUGUGGAGCCUGAGCCAUGGAAAUGUGAGACCUCGAAAUAAAACAUGAGAAGAUGAAGGGGUUGGACAAAUUCAGCUGGAGGAGAGAGACUGAGCUGCUGUCUAAAAAGCAGCCAGCGGAGGCUAAUGAGACCUUUGGGUGCUUGAAUCCAACAAUGAAUGGCGCUUCUUUCUGAGUUCAUUCCUUUUAUACGCGUGCAGGGUGUUGGGUAGGGUUCAAAGCAAAGGCUGAGAAAAAGGAGAGAGAAAUUUCAGCAGAGGUAGGCAGCAUCUCUGCGAGGUGCUGUGGCUCCUGAGAGCCGCUCGCAAGCAUUUAUGGAGCGACACGCAGAUAAUUCAGGGACAAUUCCCCCCCCUUUUAUUAUUCAUCCUGGUCUUCGAAACUCGACGGGUUUUGGUACCGAACACGCGUAUGUUCGAUAUUUUGGGGCUGAAGGAAAAAAAAAAAUUACGUGAGAGUAGGGGGGAGAAGGGAGAGGGUGAUGCCGAGAAAUUAGGCAUUGAUCCGGGUUUGAUCGAGUCUGGGAGCUUCCACCAGCAAUAAGCAGGCAAACACUCCCAAAACAGAGACAAACACACGCUCUCAGCUCCACUGAUUAUGUUAAAAAGGAGGGAAAUAAAAGGAGGACGGGUGAAAAAAGGAAAAAAAGAGAAAAAGAGAAGGAAAAAAAAAAAAGGCAAUAAGCUGUAUGUUCCCUCGAAUCUGUGGUGCUGUAAAGAAAUCAGUUUCCGUAUAAAUGAUUGUAUUUGGGUGGGUGCUUUUCCGACUUAUUUGUUGAGUAAAUCUCUCUCACCGCGCUGAAGGCGAAUCCCUGUUGAUAAAUCCAUCAUUACCGUUUGGAUACAGGGAGACAGCAGCGCCACUAAAUUUAUCUUACAUUUGUAGCGCUUUAAUAGACAUUUAUUAAAUGCUUUCAGAGAGAGACAUGGGGCGCCUGAUUACAUCCUAGUUAUAGACAGAACAUAAAGACACACGUUAACAGCAAUUUACAAGAAGGAGGGGGGAAAAAAAAGAAUAAAGAAAAGAAAACAAAAGAAAAGGCAAAGUUUGGGAGCGAAGCUGCUGGGAAGCAGGCAGCGUGCUCCUCUCCGUAUGGCCGCUAAAUGCCAGCUUUUUUCUCCUGCAUUUCUGGGAAUAUUAAUCGUGGCCUAGAGAUGUGUGUGCAUGUCUCCAUACAGAGUACGAGCCACGCACUCGCACCCGCAGAUGCGCGCGUAUGGAUCAAACAAGGCGACGCAGAUUUCUGUUCCAUUCCCCAACACACAGGAAUACAGGAGAGCAUUUACAAUGGAUUCAUCACCCUCUUCCACACUCGCCCUCCACCCCCUUACCCCUCUUACACCCCCUCCCAGCACACACACCACCCCCCCGCCAGCUUUUAACUCUAAUUUCAAUCUUCUUCAACUGGAGAAUCUCCAGGGACCUGGGCAAACUUGUGUAAAAUAGUUAAACCAAGCGUGUUUCAAAGAGGAUUGCUGAGUUCCUCUUCCUGCCCUAAUAAACCGAAAGGCCCAGUUCAAAGAAAACACGCUGGAAUCAAAAUUCAAAAUAUCUCACGACUCGCACGGAUGGAACAGGCUGCGAGCGAUGGAUACGGCUUCGUGCGUUGGUGGUCAUGUAGUGACAAACGUUUCGCCCCCUUUUUAUUUUAUUUUAUUUUUUUUUGCGUAUGGAAACCCUUCCUUUGGGCUUUUUCUCCCUUUCUUAAAUAUGCAUGUAUAUUAAAAACCUUUCUAUUUGCUUUCAAACCCUUUUCUUCCAGCGUCUCUCAGGUACAUGUUUAAAGCCAGCUCUCGCUUUUAUGAAGUUAACCCGCUCCUGCAGAGGUCUGAUCAAAUUCGGGUUCACGCCGCUCACUGCCCUCCGCUCCACAGCGCGCCCGCACCGCGGAGCCUCUGCCUUCAGGACCAAGGCUUUAGACGCGAAUUCAUGUAUUUAUCUUGUUUUCGGGCGUCUCGCAAGGCUCGCCUCCGCGUUACCUUCCCACCACCCGAGUCACUGCAAGGGCAGCAUCGCCCGGAUAACACAUGGAGCUCGGAGCUUCUCCUGCUCUAACACCGCGUGGGUCGCCUUUCACCGGGGACAGGGACACACGCACACACGCACAGACACAUCCGCACCAGCGCAGAGCUGGUCCCUGCACCUCCAGGAAAAUAAAUAAAUAAAUGAGCGCCGCGCGAAACCUUCCCUCCACCUCUGCCCUUCUGCGAGAACACUUCUUCUAUCUAAAAGUUUCCGAAAGAAAAUAAAUACAAGUGACACACUGGUCUGG